rnacentral:rRNA from 1 species
ACUGUGAUUCCCUUAGUAACUGCGAGUGAAGCGGGAAAAGCCCAUCGUUUAAUCUCCUCGUCCGCAGUGGCGGGGCGAAAUGUAACGGUAUGGAUAGGUUCUCUACCAACAAAGUCUGAUCAAAGUCCUCCGGAUUGAGGUGCCAAAGAGGGUGACAGCCCCGUGUGUGAUUGGACUGAGUUGGGCAUGUGGCCGAUUCCGAGAGUCGGGUUGUUUGGGACUGCAACCUAAAGCAGGUGGUAAACUCCACCCAAGGCUAAAUAUUGACACGAAACCGAUAGCGAACAAGUACUGUGAAGGAAAGUUGAAAAGAACUCUGAAAAGAGAGUUAAAAGUACGUGAAACCGCUAACGGGGAAGCGGAAGGCAGUGUCGAGAUCGAGUGAGUGAGUCUGCUCAAGAGCAAUUUUGAGUGGGCUAGCUUUGCUUGAUGCGUCAGGGCCGUUGGUGUGCGAUGGUUCAAUGGUCGGCAUGGCUUUCACAGCAAAUUUUUGUUUGUGGAUGCGGCUGGCUAUCCGCCUCGUGUGCUGACGUGCGAGUGAGGAGCGUUGGUGAUGUAUUGUCGGUUGGUGCGGUGUGGUGGUUCGCACUGGUCACAGCGUGGCUACGUGCGGACAAGUCAUGUGGUAGUUCAACAACCAAUGCUAGUUCCUGGCGUGAUACCCAACUUUC